rnacentral:snRNA from 1 species
AUACUUACCUGGCAGGGGAGAUACCCUGAUCACGAAGGUAGUUUUCCCAGGCUGAGACUUAGCCAUUACACUUCAGAUGUGGUGACCCCUGUAAUUUCCCCAAAUGUGGGAAACUCGGCUGCAUAAUUUGUGGUAGGGGGGACGGUAUUUGUGCUCUCUCCCA